rnacentral:lncRNA from 1 species
UGGUUUUACUCCAAAGGCAGUGAAAUCUUUCACAAGUUUGUGUACUUCAGUCUCUUCCUCAGAACCACGUUUGGAUGGUUUGUAUCUCCAGAGAUUUACAGAAGAAUUCAUAAAUUGGCACCGCUGGUAUGUCAGCAAUGUGAAGCAGCCCUGCUCCAUUGUUGCCUGGCUGUGAACCUGCCACUGGCUGAAAGCAUUUGCCUCAAAUAUCGAACUCACAGCACAGAGCGAUGUGAAGCUGUCCUCCCCUUUUUUUGGGGCUCCCCAGAACGAAAUAUACAGCUCGCUAAGUAUGAAUUGUCAUCCCUUUAGGUCAUCUAUUUCUACAUCUUUUCAUUCCCCUGCCCUGGCACACUGCAAGAUGAGGAGACAGGAGAUAUUGAUUAAGGAACUCAAAGGAAAUGAUUGUAACCAAAUGCUCUGCUGAGUGCACCCUCAAAGAACUCCGAACUUGUAAUAAGUGAACUGGUGCACUUGUCGUCAGGAGCAGUAUAUUCAUCCCACAGUGACC